AUUGAAUGCUGACAGCGUGGAUGAGGCAUGCAAGUCGCACGAAAGCGUAAGCUUUAGUGGCGAAAGGGUUAGUAAUGCAUGGGCAAUUCACCUUUAACUUUGGAAUAACAGCUGGAAACGGCUGCUAAUACCAAAUGUGAUGGGACAAGGCAUCUUGUCUUUAUCAAAGCGGGGGAUCUUCGGACCUUGCGGUUAGAGAGGAGCCGAUGUGAUAUCAGCUAGUUGGAGUGGUAAUGGCACACCAAGGCUAAGACGUCUAGGCGGAUUGAGAGAUUGACCGCAAACACUGGGACUGAGACACUGCCCAGACUCCGACGGGAGGCUGCAGUCGAGAAUCAUUCGCAAUGGGCGAAAGCCUGACGAUGCGACGCUGUGUGGACGAUGAAGGCCUUCGGGUUGUAAAGUCCUUUCGCCUGGGAACAAGAGAUGCAUACUAAUAAUGUGCAAAUUUGAGGGUACCAGGUAAAGAAGCACCGGCUAACUCCGUGCCAGCCGCCGCCGUAA
rnacentral:rRNA from 1 species